rnacentral:misc_RNA from 1 species
GAUGAAGAACGGAGCGAAAUGCGAUAAGUAAUGUGAAUUGCAGAAUUCAGUGAAUCAUCGAAUCUUUGAACGCACAUUGCGCCCGCCAGUAUUCUGGCGGGCAUGCCUGUUCGAGCGUCAUUUCAACCCUCAAGACCCCUUCGGGGGACUUGGUGUUGGGGACCGGCAUAGGGGCCUUGCGCCCCUCGCCGCCCCCGAAAUGAAUUGGCGGCCUCGUCGCGGCCUCCCCUGCGUAGUAGCACAACCUCGCAACGGGAACGUGACGGCGGCCACUGCCGUAAAACAACCCAAUUUUAUUAGAGUUGACCUCGAAUCAGGCAGGAAUACCCGCUGAACUUAAGCAUAUCAAUAAGCGGAGGA